rnacentral:rRNA from 1 species
GAUGAAUGCUGGCGGUGUGCCUAAUACAUGCAAGUCGAGCGGAAAGGCCCCUUCGGGGGUACUCGAGCGGCGGGCGGCUGAGUAACGCGUAGGAACGUACCCCAAACUGAGGGAUAAUUCACCGAAAGGUGGACUAAUACCGCAUAUGCUCUUCGGAGUAAAGCUUCGGCGGUUUGGGAACGGCCUGCGUCCGAUUAGGUUGUUGGUGAGGUAAUGGCUCACCAAGCCGACGAUCGGUAGCUGGUCUGAGAGAAUGAUCAGCCAGACUGGGGCUGGGACACGGCCCGGACUCUUACGGGAGGCAGCAGUAGGGAAUAUUGGACAAUGGGCUCAAGCAUGAUCCAGCCAGGCCGCGUGAGUGAUGAAGGCCUUAGGGUUGUAAAGCUCUUUCGUCCGGGACGAUAAUGACGGUACCGGAAGAAGAAGCCCCGGCUAACUUCGUGCCAGCCGCCGCCGUAA